UUUCCGGAAUUGAGUGGCAAACGGGUGAGUAACACGUAAACAACCUGCCUUCAGGAUGGGGACAACAGACGGAAACGACUGCUAAUACCGAAUAAGUUCCAAGGGUUGCAUGGCCCAUGGAAGAAAAGGUGGCCUCUACCUGUAAGCUAUCGGUGAUGGAUGGGGAUGCGUCUGAUUAGCUUGUUGGCAGGGCAGCGGCCUACCAAGGCGACGAUCAGUAGCCGGCCUGAGAGGGUGAACGGCCACACUGGAACUGAGACACGGUCCAGACUCC
rnacentral:rRNA from 1 species